rnacentral:rRNA from 1 species
AAUAGAUACCCGGGUAGUCCACGCCGUAAACGGUGGGCACUAGAUGUGGGGCUCUUUCCAUGAGUUCCGCGUCGCAGCUAACGCAUUAAGUGCCCCGCCUGGGGAGUACGGCCGCAAGGCUAAAACUCAAAGGAAUUGACGGGGGCCCGCACAAGCGGCGGAGCAUGCAGAUUAAUUCGAUGCAACGCGAAGAACCUUACCAAGGCUUGACAUAUACGGUCUAUCCCUAGAGAUAGGGAGUGCUUCGGCGCCGUAUACAGGUGGUGCAUGGUUGUCGUCAGCUCGUGUCGUGAGAUGUUGGGUCAAGUCCCGCAACGAACGCAACCCUCGUCCUAUGUUGCCAGCGGGUAAUGCCGGGGACUCAUGGGAGACUGCCGGGGUCAACUCGGAGGAAGGUGGGGAUGAGGUCAAAUCAUCAUGCCCCUUAUGUCUUGGGCUUCACGCAUGCUACAAUGGCCGGUACAAAGGGCUGCAAUACCGCAAGGUGGAGCGAAUCCCAAAAGGCCGGUCUCAGUUCGGA